rfam:Myotis lucifugus cont2.21800, whole genome shotgun sequence.
AUGUCUCUUGCUUCAACAGUGUUUGACGGAACAG